AUUGAACGCUGGCGGCAUGCCUUACACAUGCAAGUCGAACGGCAGCACGGGAGCAAUCCUGGUGGCGAGUGGCGAACGGGUGAGUAAAGUAUCGGAACGUGCCCAGUCGUAGGGGAUAACGUAGCGAAAGUUACGCUAAUACCGCAUACGAUCUAUGGAUGAAAGCGGGGGAUCGCAAGACCUCGCGCGAUUGGAGCGGCCGAUGGCAGAUUAGGUAGUUGGUAGGGUAAAGGCCUACCAAGCCGACGAUCUGUAGCUGGUCUGAGAGGAUGAUCAGCCACACUGGGACUGAGACACGGCCCAGACUCCUACGGGAGGCAGCAGUGGGGAAUUUUGGACAAUGGGCGCAAGCCUGAUCCAGCCAUUCCGCGUGCAGGAUGAAGGCCUUCGGGUUGUAAACUGCUUUUGUACAGAACGAAAAGGCUCUGGUUAAUACCCGGGGCUCAUGACGGUACUGUAAGAAUGAGCACCGGCUAACUACGUGCCAGCCGCCGCAGUAA
rnacentral:rRNA from 1 species